rnacentral:tRNA from 1 species
AAAAAGAUAAGCUAAGCCUAAGCUAUUAGGUUCAUACCCUGUAUAUAGAAGUUACAACCCUUCUUCUUUUUA